rnacentral:rRNA from 1 species
AGUGAACGCUAGCGGUAGGCCUAACACAUGCGAGUCGAACGGCAGCACAGUAAGAGCUUGCUCUUACGGGUGGCGAGUGGCGGACGGGUGAGGAAUACAUCGGAAUCUACUUUUUCGUGGGGGAUAACGUAGGGAAACUUACGCUAAUACCGCAUACGACCUACGGGUGAAAGCAGGGGAUCUUCGGACCUUGCGCGAUUGAAUGAGCCGAUGUCGGAUUAGCUAGUUGGCGGGGUAAAGGCCCACCAAGGCGACGAUCCGUAGCUGGUCUGAGAGGAUGAUCAGCCAAACUGGAACUGAGACACGGUCCAGAAUCCUACGGGAGGCAGCAGUGGGGAAUAUUGGACAAUGGGCGCAAGCCUGAUCCAGCCAUACCGCGUGGGUGAAGAAGGCCUUCGGGUUGUAAAGCCCUUUUGUUGGGAAAGAAAAGCAGCAGGUUAAUACCCCGCUGUUCUGACGGUACCCAAAGAAUAAGCACCGGCUAACUUCGUG